rnacentral:lncRNA from 1 species
AGAUAUCAUCAUUUUUCUUCAGCAAAAACGCCAUGGGAGGUCUGAAAGCUGCUGGUUUUUCAUACUUUGACAUAUGUGAGUUCAAUUCUUGCCCUUUUCUUUGAGAUUUUUAUGUUUUUGUGACUUUUACAAUUAGGUCCAAGUGUUUAAUUCAUUAGUUUUUGAUUUUAUGAACAAAAUUAAAAGCUAUCAUUGAUAAUUGUUAGCUGUUUAUGAUGAAAUAAAAUGAAUUUUAAGCUUUGAUUUUGUUGUUUGAUGAUUUUAUCAAGUAAUUUCAAUAGAAAUUGAUUUUAGGACCUAAUUGUGAAAAAGUUGUGAAUUAAGGUUUAGUGUUAAAAUUCUGAUUUUCAAAGGUUGUGUAAUAGUUUAGAAUGAUGGAAUAAAAUGUUAAUUGAGAAAAAUUAUCUUAAUAGAUGGGCUAAUUGAGCAAGGACUGAAUUGUAUGACCUGUGAAAUUUAGAGGAAAAAUGGUAAUAAACAUCUUGAACUAAAACAAUAUUGGACAGCAGCAGUAGACUAACUUUGAAAAAUCACCAUAAAUUGUAGAAAUAAAAUUAGAAGAUGAAUAAAAUAUUAAAUUAAAGCUUAUUGAGUCUAGUUUUUCAUAGAAGAAACGGUGUAAGCAAUUGAUUUGUAAAUUAUGAGAUAUAAUGAAUUUUGUGAGACAAUGAUAGAAUGAAUUCGGGUUCUCCUGUUUUGACUUUGGAAAAUCACUAAAAAUUGGAGAAAAUUAACUAGAGUCUCAAAUUUAUAUGCUUAGAAUUCUUAAUGAGUCUAUUUUCAAUAUAAAUCAAUGGGAACAUUAUCCGAGUUUUAUACUAUGAUAUAAUUAAUUUUUAGUGAAGAGACGUCAGAACUGUGGAUAGUGAAAUAGGGGAAACUUAAAUGAAUAAACUGUACUAAUUGGCUAAACCAAAAAUUCUGAAAAUUUUGUGGUGGAAUGAUAUGUGAGUCUAGUUUCAGGGAAAAUUUACGGAUCUUAAUUUUGAGCUCUGUAGCUCGAAUUAUAAAUAAUUGAGUGACUAUGACUCGUGUGAACAGCUUGAUGUGAGUAUUAAUAAGUAAAUUGUGAAAUCGUACUUACAAGAAUGUUAUAUACAUUAAGGAUGUGGAAUGGAGAGGAGGAGGAGGAAAAAUAUAUAUGAAUAUUCAGUUAGCAUAGCUAAUUUGCAUGUUUUAAGCUCAUGGACUAAAUUGAAUAAAAGUAAAACUUUAGGGGUAAUUUUGUAAAAAUGUCAAAAAUGACUAAAUUGAAGGGAAUAAAUUGUUUCAUUAUCUAAAUUAAUAAAUUGAAUGAAAUUAUCAAUUUAAGAUUGGGUGAAAUUUGGAAAAAUGGUAAAUUACCAAAUGCCCCUAAAUCUUGGUAUUUCUGCAAUUUAGUCAGGUAGGUUCGGAUACCCUGAAUGAGCAUGUAAAUAUAACAAUUUAAGUAUUGUAUCGUAUUUUAUAUGAUAUUUUGAAUUGAAUAUAUGAAAAGGAUGUUACAUGAAACAUGAAACAUGAAUACUAAAUAAUAUAAAUUAAUUGAAAUUAUUCUGAAAAUUUCGGUAAUGCCUCGUAUCCUAUCCCGGUCUCAGGUACAGGUAUGGGGUAUUACAAUUGUGGUAUCAAUAUUGGAUUAUUUUUAUAUGUAUAAAUUUUAUAUUUGAAAUGAAUUGAUAUGAUUAAGGUUUAUAUGAGCUUACUAAGCAUUCGUUGCUUAUGUAGUUGUUUUCCUUUACUUUUCAGAUUAUUGGAGGCUUGAUCGGGUUGAAAAUUUUGUCGGAUUUAUAUCACACUAUCCAUCAGUUCUAUUGGUACUUUAAGAUGUUUUGAUUUUAAUUAUAGUGGCAUGUAUAAGUAUUCUGAUUAAUAUUGGCCUAUAUGAGUUUUGUUAAUAUGAGCCACUUAUUUGGCUUGUGUUUUGGCACAUUUUGGUUUGUGUAUAUUUGCCUUUUAUGGUUAAGGUGUGGGUUGGUUUAUGAUUGUAUAGUGAAAGGUAAAAUGUUAGCUAAAUGUGCAUUUAUAUACAUGUGUUUUGGUAUGUUUUGGUAGGUAGGUGACUUGGUUUGAAAUAAUGCAAAUUAGCUUGGUGAACCAUAGGUACAAUUUUGCAAAUAAGUUAGUUAUACAUAUGAGUAUUCUGAAUACAUGAAUACACAUGUUAUAAUUUGUCAUCUGAGGUGUUUGAAGGAAUAAUGGUUGUAUGUGAAGAUAUUAUAUAUAUUUAAGGCUUGAUUUUUACUUCUUUUGGAUACUUUAAUAUGGUUUGUUUACAUGUAUGAUGAUAACUGUAGAUACAUGCCUUGUUGAGUGAGAAAAAAAGCUUAU